UUCUGGUUGGAGCGACCGGUCGGGCAUUGUUUUGUCUGCACUGGAGUCGGUUCUGGCCAUCCUCUUGGAAAGUGCGUCUGUCAUUAAGUUGUCGGGCGUAUGAUCCAGGUCUUUUACUGUGAAAAAAUUAGAGUGUUUAAAGCAGGCCUUCGCCUUGAAUACAUUAGCAUGGAAUAAUAAGAUAGGACUUUGGUCUAUUUUGUUGGUUUGCAGACCGAAGUAAUGAUUAAUAGGGAUAGUUGGGGGUAUUUAUAUUCCAAUGUCAGAGGUGAAAUUCUUAGAUUUUUGGAAGAUAAACUUAUGCGAAAGCAUUUACCAAGGAUGUUUUCAUUAAUCAAGAACGAAAGUUAGGGGAUCGAAGAUGAUUAGAUACCAUCGUAGUCUUAACCAUAAACUAUGCCGACUCAGGAUUGGUGAACGUUAAUUAAAUGACUUCAUCAGCACUGUGUGACAAAUCAAAGUCUUUGGGUUCCGGGGGGAGUAUGGUCG
rnacentral:rRNA from 1 species